GAUAGCUGUAUUAGUGUUGAAGUAUUCUUCUGCUGGAUGUAAGACUAAAAAAAAAAAAAAAAAAAAAAAAGGGGGGGGUGAUAUGUAAAAGGGGAUGUGAUAUUGUCCUCAACUCUUUUUUGUUUUUUUUUCUGAAUAGCCCCAUUACUGUGAAGACGGCUACUGGUGUCGCAAACUAGGGAAGGGCUGCAUCAACUCUUCGGUGCCGUGGCGGCAGCUCUGCUCUGGGACUGCCUUGUGUGUGUCUGUACUCAUCAAGCUUCACUGAAGUCAAGGAAGUUACAUUUCACGUACACCACGGUAAUGAGAUGAGAACUAUAGAUUCUCUUCUGCUAAAGAUUUCAGCAUCUGAUCCUGAAGAUUAGCAUUUAUCAUGUUGAGAUUUGGGCAGCAUCUCAUCAAGCCUUCUGUGGUCUUCGUGAAGACAGAGCUCUCCUUUGCUCUUGUGAACCGGAAGCCAGUGGUCCCAGGGCGUAUCCUUUCAGCCAGAGCCUCAGUCAUGAGCACGUAUGAGCCGUUCAGCGUUCUGUGGAAAAGUGGGAGACACUCUGCACGUUCUGAAGGCCAGGCUUGUCUACCACAUUUCAUUCUCAUAUUUACGCAGGAUGAAAAAAAAAGYCUGAAACAGAAUACUGCAGUGAUUCAAACCCCUUUCAUCUGAGUGUCUCUCAGCAUGUUAUUCACCAUAUCACAACGGAACGGAUCACACCCCUCAGAUUUAAUUGGCAAAUCCCAUUGUUAUGAGACCUCAACGUAUACUAAAGUGACUCUAUUUUGCAAUGAGCACACAAUGUGCUAUUCUCUGUUGAGCACAAUGAAUAUUUAUAUUCCUCCACUCUUCUCUGGGAGAGUCAGAAUUGUUUUAUGGUAGCUGCAUCCUUCAGGACUCUUUCAUUUUGUUUCCCGUUUCAAGCCUUAAAUAUUUUUUUCAGUGAUUGUGAAAAUGUGUCUCACCAGUUUCUUUUGUCGCUGUUGGAUCUUCAUUCCUGGACUGUUGCCUACGGUAUUUUUUUUGUAAAAGGCACUUUUUCUUUGACAUUGCUGUUAAACAUAAUGGGAAACUGGAAGAUGAACAGUGAUAACAAGAAAAGCUAUCUUAAAAAAUAAUUUCCGUUAUGCAGCACAAAAAAAAAGUUUAGUUCUGUGCUAACAAUGUUGUCUCUUCAUACCAGCAUUCCUAUAAUGAUUUUCAUGGCUGCUCCAAGGUAUAAGAAGUUAUGUUUUUGCCAUCAGUUUGCAAUUUGUGAGGUCACUUUGGUAGAGAAAGUGCUAAGAGAUGAUGCACACAUCUUGAAUUAAUCUUCAAACUAUUGAACUCUCUUUUGAUAACGGAAAAACAAAAAAGUGCCAAGUACAUGAUAUCAUACAGAAAAUACAAUAGUCAAUUAUGUGUUUAAAGAAACUCUGUAUUGUUCUUGGGAAUAUAAGAUUGAGAAUAACUCAAAAGUCAUGUUAAAUACUGUACAAGCACUAGAAUAAUCCCAAAGCUACCUGCUACAGACAAUUCCAAUAUUAUUUAAAUUCCUAUUUUCACAUAGAUAUCAUUGUCCUUUCCAAGAGAUACAAGGUUUUACUAUUGAUUUUGGGGGGAGGAUGUCAAGAGUGUCUGUAAAGCUUGAAUUGAUUUAAUGUCAAAGUCCAAAUACCACAUUASCCCUCUGGAAAUCUAAUUAAUUGAAAUAUAUGCCAUUUUAACAUAUUUGUAGUGAAUGAUGUUAACCAAUACCUGUAGCAAACAGUUUAGCUGCAUUUCCCAGGGCAAUAGAAAUGAGGUUGUCUUGAUAAUGUUAAAGAAUAUUUCUUAUUUGGCUCAGGAUUUGCAGAGAAUAUGAGUUUUCUUCUUGUGACUACACAUGGGUUGAAUUAUAUUUGGGUAUUAAUCAUUCACAGUAUCGCUUUCCACAUUAAUUGUAUAGCAUAUCUUGCUAGUCCAUUUACAACAUAGUAUUGGUAUGUAGUAAACCUGUUCUCCACUUAAUUAGAAAAAAGGAGGAAAAUAAGAAUUUGUGAGUAUGUUUGACAAAGCCAUUCUGGCGGAAAACAGCCACAAUUGAAUAAAAAUAUACAUAAAGAUGAUCGAGGUCA
ensembl:lncRNA